UGUGAUUAGGAGUGAAAAGCUAAUCGAACCCGGAGAUAGCUGGUUCUCCUCGAAAGCUAUUUAGGUAGCGCCUCGGACGAAUACUGCUGGGGGUAGAGCACUGUUAUGGCUAGGGGGUCAUCGCGACUUACCAAACCAUUGCAAACUCCGAAUACCAGUACGUACUAUCCGGGAGACACACGGCGGGUGCUAACGUCCGUCGUGAAAAGGGAAACAACCCAGACCCACAGCUAAGGUCCCAAAUUCACUGCUAAGUGGAAAACGAUGUGGAAAGGCACAGACAGCCAGGAGGUUGGCUUAGAAGCAGCCACCCUUUAAAGAAAGCGUAAUAGCUCACUGGUCGAGUCGGUCUGCGCGGAAGAUUUAACGGGGCUAAGCAGUGAACCGAAGCUUGGGGUGCAUCGCGAUAAGCGAUGCGCGGUAGAGGAGCGUUCCGUAAGCCGUUGAAGGUGGAUUGAGAAGUCCGCUGGAGGUAUCGGAAGUGCGAAUGCUGACAUGAGUAACGAUAAUGCGGGUGAAAAACCCGCACGCCGAAAGCCCAAGGUUUCCUUGCGCAACGUUAAUCGGCGCAGGGUGAGUCGGCCCCUAAGGCGAGGGCGAAAGCCGUAGUCGAUGGGAAGCAGGUUAAUAUUCCUGCACCUCGCGUAAGUGCGAUGGAGGGACGGAGAAGGUUAGGUGUACCGGGCGUUGGUUGUCCCGGGGAAAGGCGGUAGGUUUGGAUCUUUGGCAAAUCCGGGAUCCUUUAAGACCGAGCACCGAGACGAGUCUUUUAGACGAAGUCACUGAUACCAUGCUUCCAGGAAAAGCUCCUAAGCUUCAGCUUACGCAGACCGUACCGUAAACCGACACAGGUGGGUAGGAUGAGAAUUCUCAGGCGCUUGAGAGAACUCGGGUGAAGGAACUAGGCAACAUGGCACCGUAACUUCGGGAGAAGGUGCACCCUUUUUGGUGGCUCAUGCGAGCUAUAGCUGAAGAGGGUCGCAGAAACCAGGCCGCUGCGACUGUUUAUCAAAAACACAGCACUCUGCAAACACGAAAGUGGACGUAUAGGGUGUGACGCCUGCCCGGUGCUGGAAGGUUAAUUGAUGGGGUCAGCCGCAAGGCGAAGCUCUUGAUCGAAGCCCCAGUAAACGGCGGCCGUAACUAUAACGGUCCUAAGGUAGCGAAAUUCCUUGUCGGGUAAGUUCCGACCUGCACGAAUGGCGUAACGACAGCGGCGCUGUCUCCACCCGAGACUCAGUGAAAUUGAAAUCGCUGUGAAGAUGCAGCGUUCCCGUGGCAAGACGGAAAGACCCCGUGAACCUUUACUAUAGCUUUACACUGAACGUUGAGUUCGUCUGUGUAGGAUAGGUGGGAGGCUAUGAAACCAUGGCGCUAGCUGUGGUGGAGCCAACCUUGAAAUACCACCCUGUCGUGCUUGACGUUCUAACCUAGGUCCGUUAUCCGGAUCGGGGACCGUGUAUGGUGGGUAGUUUGACUGGGGCGGUCUCCUCCUAAAGAGUAACGGAGGAGCACGAAGGUACGCUCAGCGCGGUCGGACAUCGCGCACUGUGUGCAAAGGCAUAAGCGUGCUUGACUGCAAGAUCGACGGAUCAAGCAGGUACGAAAGUAGGUCUUAGUGAUCCGGUGGUUCUGUAUGGAAGGGCCAUCGCUCAACGGAUAAAAGGUACUCCGGGGAUAACAGGCUGAUACCGCCCAAGAGUUCAUAUCGACGGCGGUGUUUGGCACCUCGAUGUCGGCUCAUCACAUCCUGGGGCUGUAGUCGGUCCCAAGGGUAUGGCUGUUCGCCAUUUAAAGUGGUACGCGAGCUGGGUUCAGAACGUCGUGAGACAGUUCGGUCCCUAUCUGCCAUGGGCGUUGGAAGUUUGAGAGGGGCUGCUCCUAGUACGAGAGGACCGGAGUGGACGAACCUCUGGUGUUCCGGUUGUCACGCCAGUGGCAUUGCCGGGUAGCUAUGUUCGGAAGCGAUAACCGCUGAAAGCAUCUAAGCGGGAAGCGCGCCUCAAGAUGAGACUUCCCGGGGCACAAGCCCCCUUAAGGAACCAUGUAGACUACGUGGUUGAUAGGUCAGGUGUGUAAGUGCAGCAAUGCAUUGAGCUAACUGAUACUAAUGAUCCGUGCGGCUUGACCAU
rnacentral:rRNA from 1 species